rnacentral:tRNA from 1 species
GCCUGGAUAGCUCAAUCGGUAGAGCAUCAGACUUUUAAUCUGAGGGUCCAGGGUUCGAGUCCCUGUUCGGGCG